CUCAGCAGAAGACAAAGAAACCACAGGCUGCUUUUUAGCCUUCCAACCAAUUAUAGAAUCACCUAACAUUACACAAAAACUAGAGACAGACCUCCUGGUGUCUGGGCAGGAUGCCCAGUCACUAUCACAAUAAGUAGAUAAGGAGAGGUCUGCUGUGUUGCUGAGAAAGAUGCCAAGGUCAGAGGUACCUCUAAGAUAUCUCAGUGUGUGUAAGGCUGCAUGCAUAUGAGAGGAGGUAGGUUUCUGAAGAUAUUGACUUAAGUGCUGGACAUCAAAUGCUAAGUCAGGUCUAGUGUGGGUGAGGAAAUUGAGCUUCCCCACCAAGCACCUAUAAACUUCAGGAGAAGGAAGAGGAUCCCCUAAAUCCAGUUUUAGCUUAACAGAGAGAUCAAGAGGGCAAGUAACAGAGGAAACAUCCUCACAGUUAUAAGCUUUGAGAAGGUCAGUGACAAACUUCUUCUGGUGGAGAAGGAGUCCAGCAGAAUGAUAACUGACCUCAAUACCAAGGAAGUAGUUGAGCACCCCCAAAUCCUUGAUUUUAAACUCAUGACCCAGAAAAGUAUUCAAGGCAGUGAUUUCCUCCAAAUUAUUACCAGUAAGAAUGAUGUCAUCAACAUACACAGCUAACAAGACAAUAGAAGAGCCAGAUUUCUUAAGAAAAAGAGAGUAGUCAUUGAGAGAAGAAGAAAACCCUUUAGAACAUAAGGCCUGGGAGAGCUUGGCAUACCAUUGCCUGGAAGCCUGCCUUAAUCUAUACAAAGACUUCUGAAGCAAACAGACCAAAGGAGAAGAAGAAGAGGCAAAACAGGCAACAUCCAGUCUAGGAGGUAGUUUCAUAUAAACUUCCUCAGCUAGGUCACCAUGUAAGAAUGCAUUAUUCACAUCAAGUUGAAAGAGAGACCAAUUCUGUUUAACAGCCACAGCAAUGAGGGACUUGAUAGUGGAGAACUUGACAACUGGAGAAAAGGUCUCAGUGAAGUCUACCCCCUCAACUUAGGUGUCACCCCUAACAACCAUCCUAGCCUUAUGUCUUUCCACAGACCCAUCAGCCCUAUCUUUGAUUUUAUAGACCCAUUUGCAACCAAUAGGUCGUUUACCAGGGGGCAGAGGAACAACAGACCAUGUAUUAUUGGCCUCCAAUGCAGCAAAUUUGACCCAUUUUCAACCAAUAGGUCGUUUACCAGGGGGAAGAGGGACAACAGACCAUGUAUGAUUGGCCUCCAAAGCUGCAAAUUCCUUGGCCAUUGCCCCCUGCCAGGCAGGAAUGCAAGCAACCUGCUGGUAGGAGGUAGGCUUUGACUCUGGACUGCUAACCAAGGUGUGAAGUCAAGUGGAGGAAGAACUGGGAGCAUAGAGAGAAGGAGGAAGAGUACAGACAUAUUGCUGAAGGUGGGCAGGAAGGACAUGUGCCUUAUUGGAUCUUCUGGGAGCAUAUGAAGAAGGCACUGAAGAAGUAUGUGAUGGAGAAGAAGGGGAAGAAGAUGGAGAGACAAUAGGUUGAUGGGUGGAAGAAGAAGAUGGAUUGAGCAGAAAGUCAUCAACAGGAGGAACCCAGGCAGAAGAAGGAUUGGGAUGGGGAAAGGAGCCAAGGGAAGAAUUCCCUGGUGAGGCAAAAGGAAAGACAUCCUCAUGAAAAAUGACAUCCCUGGAGAUCAGGGUAAGCUUAGACUUCAAGUAAUACAGCUUGUAACCCUUCUUAGCCAAUGGGUAACCCAGGAAGACACAGGGAUCAGCUUUGGGCUGGAAUUUAUCCCUGUUCUAUUUAGGGACUGAGGCAAAACAUAAGCAACCAAAUGUUUUAAGAUGGUUGUAGGAUGGAAUUUGGCCAAACAGUAAUUCAAAAGGGGAUUUGUUGUUAAGUAGUUUGGAAGGAAACCUGUUGAUGAGGUAGAUGGCAGUAAGUACACAAUCACCCAAAAACUUAAGGCGUAGCUGAGAAUGAAAGAGUAGAGCUCUUGAGAUUUCUAGCAGAUAUCUAUGCUUUCUCUCAACAACACCAUUUUGUUGUGGUGUAUGAGAGCAAGAAGUUUGAUGGAUUAUGCCAUGUUCAGCAAAGAAGUUGCUGCCACAGCCACUAGAACCAAGUUCAAAUGCAUUAUCACUUCUAAUGGUUUGGACCAUAGACUGGAAUUGAGUUUUAACCAUGGCAAUGAAAGCUUUAAUGAGGAGAAAGGCAUUGCUCUUGGACUACCACAGACUGGAAUUGAGUUUUAACCAUGGCAAUGAAAGCUUUAGUGAGGGGAAAGACAUUGCUCUUGGACCCCAUAAGGUGGGUCCAAGUAGCUCUAGUAAAAUCAUCAACAAUUGUUAAAAAAUAUCUACAACCAUUAUGAGUAGAAGUGGCAUAGGGAUCCCAUGUAUCAACAUGGAUUAGUUGAAAAGCAUGUGUUGUUUUGAUUGAACUGUCAGGAAAGGGUAGUCAAGAUUGCCUGGCCAAAGGACAUAUAGUAUAGAGAAAAAGUUGCUUUCUGGAAAAUUUACAUGGUAUAUAAGGCAUGUCUUUCAUCCAAACAAAAGGUAUAUGCCCUAUUCUAUUAUGCCAUAACAUCUCCAUUUUAUUCAAUUCAGAAUGGUAUGUACAAUGAGAAGAAGCCGAAAAGCAUGUGUUGUUUUGAUUGAACUGUCAGGAAAGGGUAGUGUAGAUUGCCUGGACAAAGGACAUAUAGUACAGAUAAAAGGUUGCUUUGUGGAAAAUUUACAUGGUAUAGAAGGCAUGUCUUUCAUCCUAACAAAAGGUAUAUGCCCUAGUCUAUUAUGCCAUAACAUCUCCAUUUUAUUCAAUUCAGAAUGGUAUGUACAAUGAGAAGAGGAAACAGAAUCAACAGGUAAUGGAGCAUGGUAUUUACAAGGAUCAAGAGAUUUAAAAGAAGAAGAUUGUACAAGCCUGUAG
rnacentral:lncRNA from 1 species